UGCGGGGUGGAGCAGCCUGGUAGCUCGUCGGGCUCAUAACCCGAAGGUCGUUGGUUCGAAUCCAGCCCCCGCUACCA
rnacentral:tRNA from 16 species